UGAGAGUUCUUGAUUAGUGCAGGUGGAGAGUUCCAAAGGGAUCGCAUUGAUCUGAUGAUAACAUUAAAUUAAUCACUCAAACGGGUUGAUUUUAUUAUAUAUAUGAUUUCUUUCAUUUUUAGAUCAUGCGAUCCCUUCGGAAUUCCCCAUCUAUGGCUCUAAAUUUUUAUAUAU
rnacentral:pre_miRNA from 1 species